rnacentral:miRNA from 1 species
UUUAGGCUGCUGGAACAAAUUAUUAGGUUGGUGCAAAAGUAAUUGUGCUUUUUUCAAUUAUUAGUUGGUACAAAAGUAGUUGUGCAAUAACUUUUGCACCAACCUAAAUACUAUAG